CAGAUAGGUGAACUCAAGUUUAUAGAAGACUAAUAUAAUAUUUUGAAAUAAAUGAACUGCCGUUUACUACUCUCAAGAUUUCUCAAAAUACUCAAGUAUUCGUGCUCAUUAUAUCAGCAGAAACCUGAUUUAUUAUUCCAAAAACGACCUGGCCUACAUCUUCCAGGCCGCUUCUUCUACAUCUUCUUAUCACUUUUUCUGGACAUUUAAAUGCCGUUCAUUGUUCCAACUGUAAAAGCAGAAGAAAAUUUCAAACUAUUUAUCAGACAUUCUAAAAACGACCGGGUCUACAUACUCGAUUUGCCAAUUUUUCAAGACAGCUAAGUGCCGUUCACCGUUGCAAUAAAACAGAAAAGGCAAAAAAAAAAAAAUUUAAAUAAUUAUAAGGCACCGACGUGUAUUAAUCUGAUUUAUAACCUUAAAAGUGACCGGGUUUACAUUCUAAGUGUCGUUCAUCGUCCUUACAAAAACAGUGAACACAUAAAAACAUUUAAAAUAUAUAUCUAACAUCGAUGAGUAUUAACCUGAUUUAUAAUAAUUCCAACAGCGAUCAGGUGAACGUUCUGGAUUCACUAUCGUCGCAGCAAAAAUAGGAAACAAAUUUGAAAUUAUAAUUAAGUUU